AUUGAACGCUGGCGGCAGGCCUAACACAUGCAAGUCGAGCGGAUGAAGGGAGCUUGCUCUUGGAUUCAGCGGCGGACGGGUGAGUAAUGCCUAGGAAUCUGCCUGGUAGUGGGGGAUAACGUCCGGAAACGGGCGCUAAUACCGCAUACGUCCUGAGGGAGAAAGUGGGGGAUCUUCGGACCUCACGCGAUCAGAUGAGCCUAGGUCGGAUUAGCUAGUUGGUGGGGUAAAGGCCUACCAAGGCGACGAUCCGUAACUGGUCUGAGAGGAUGACCAGUCACACUGGAACUGAGACACGGUCCAGACUCCUACGGGAGGCAGCAGUGGGGAAUAUUGGACAAUGGGCGAAAGCCUGAUCCAGCCAUGCCGCGUGUGUGAAGAAGGUCUUCGGAUUGUAAAGCACUUUAAGUUGGGAGGAAGGGCAGUAAGUUAAUACCUUGCUGUUUUGACGUUACCAACAGAAUAAGCACCGGCUAACUUCGUG
rnacentral:rRNA from 1 species